CAUUUGGGCACCUCCAGGUACCUGACACAGGUACACGUGUCAGAGGCUGGGGAACCUGGGACCACACCCAUCCCUGUUCAUGGGGCCUGCAAGCAGCUGCAGUCAGGCUUGCUCCCUGUGAGGGCCCAGACUCUGCCCACAGGUCCUGAUCCACCCCCAGUCCCUCCAAGUACGGCCCCCCCCUGUGCUUCCAGAGGACAGGGAAGUCCCCUCGGAGUCAGAAUGGAGGGAGCAGGGCCAGGAUGGGGCCACCUUGGGGGAGGGUCCUGGCUUUAUGUGUUGUCCCCUGGACCCCCACCUGGUUGGCAUCAGCCCCACCAGCCCUCCCGGUUCUCUUGUUAUCUGUGUUGAGUUCCUAGAGCUCGAGUCUAGACUCUAAGCACCUGUAAAUCUGGCACGUGUGAAAGUCAGCAAGCUGUGUGCUAUUGAGACUGUCAUCAGAGGAAGGUAAUUUGUUUAUAGAUUUCUGUGCUGGCACAGGGGCCUUGGAUCCUGCGUCAGGCUCCCCAACAACGCUGUGAGCCCAGCCCUGGGGCAGAAGAGCAGCUCCCCCACGUUGGAAAAGCUGUGUCAACUCACGGGGACAGAACAGCGUCUUCUGCUCCCUUCAGGACCCACAGCACAUGGAGCGGUGCCUGCAACAUAGUGCGCCUCCCACCAGCAUCUGUGAGGAAGACAGAAUUAAAAGCCAGACUGGUUACAAAGCUCCCGCUAUGGACUCUGUCAGGGAUUUGGGAGCUACUUUCCUUCUCUGCACUUCAGCACCCCAGUGACAUAGUGCUGAAGAUGACCUAGAGUAAGAGAGAGAUAGAAACAUUGAUGAGAGAGAAACAUCAUCGAUCGGCUCCCUCCUGCAUGCUCCCUACUGGGGGGAAUGGAUCCCUCAACUCAAGCAUGUACCCUGACUGGGAAUCAGACCGUA